UGAGGAAUAUUGGGCAAUGCCCGCAAGGGUGACCCAGCAACGCCGCGUGGAGGAUGAAUGUCGUAAGAUUGUAAACUCCUGUUAGAGGGGAAGAAUAGUACCGGUUGGACCGGUAUAUGACUGUACCCUCAGAGAAAGCCCCGGCUAACUACGUGCCAGCAGCCGCGGUAAUACGUAGGGGGCAAGCGUUGUACGGAUUUACUGGGUGUAAAGGGCGCGCAGGCGGGAUAAAAAGUCAGUGGUGAAAUCCUACAGCUUAACUGUAGAACUGCCUUUGAUACUUUUAUUCUUGAGUUCGGGAGAGAGAGACGGAAUUCCAGGUGUAGUGGUGAAAUACGUAGAUAUCUGGAAGAACACCAGUUGCGAAGGCGGUCUCUUGGUCCGACACUGACGCUGAGGCGCGAAAGCGUGGGGAGCAAAC
rnacentral:rRNA from 1 species